rnacentral:rRNA from 1 species
GACGAACGCUGGCGGCGUGCUUAACACAUGCAAGUCGAACGAUGAAGCCGGAGCUUGCUCUGGUGAAUUAGUGGCGAACGGGUGAGUAACACGUGAGUAACCUGCCCUUGACUCUGGGAUAACUGCGGGAAACUGUAGCUAAUACCGGAUACGACCCUCGGAGGCAUCUCCUGGGGGUGGAAAGAAUUUCGGUCAAGGAUGGACUCGCGGCCUAUCAACUAGUUGGUGAGGUAAAGGCUCACCAAGGCGACGACGGGUAGCCGGCCUGAGAGGGUAACCGGCCACACUGGGGCUGAGACACGGCCCAGACUCCGACGGGAGGCGGCAGUGGGGAAUAUUGCACAAUGGGAGCAAGCCUGAUGCAGCAACGCCGCGUGAGGGAUGACGGCCUUCGGGUUGUAAACCUCUUUUAGUAGGGAAGAAGCGAAAGUGACGGUACCUGCAGAAAAAGCACCGGCUAACUACGUGCCAGCCGCCGCCGUAA